rnacentral:rRNA from 1 species
GUAGGUGGCAAGCGUUGUCCGGAAUUAUUGGGCGUAAAGCGCGCGCAGGCGGUUCUUUAAGUCUGAUGUGAAAGCCCACGGCUCAACCGUGGAGGGUCAUUGGAAACUGGAGAACUUGAGUACAGAAGAGGAAAGCGGAAUUCCACGUGUAGCGGUGAAAUGCGUAGAGAUGUGGAGGAACACCAGUGGCGAAGGCGGCUUUCUGGUCUGUAACUGACGCUGAGGCGCGAAAGCGUGGGGGAGCAAACAGGAUUAGAUACCCUGGUAGUCCACGCCGUAAACGAUGAGUGCUAAGUGUUAGGGGGUUUCCCGCCCCUUAGUGCUGCAGCUAACGCAUUAAGCACUCCGCCUGGGGAGUACGGCCGCAAGGCUGA